CAUACCAAUCUAAAUUCAGUAAGAAAGAGCCAAAAUGAGCUAUGACAGGAUCUUUCAUAUCUUAUCUGAGGUCCCAUCUAUACAUAAAUGAUUAUCUCCAGGACCUUGUCUCUCUGAUGGUGUAAUCCUAUUUCCUUCUAUAGUACAAAACUUUUUGGAAUCUUGUCCCAGUAACUAACUGACUUUAGGUUGCCCACCUGCAAAGGUGUAGGUUCUCUAACUUUGAGAUAAUUGAAAUCAUUUUGGUAAAUAUAAAAUAUUAAUAUAUGAACAUAAAUAUUUAAGUUAAUGAUAGGUUUUGUUUUCAAUCAAGAUUAAGGGACAACUAAUAGAAAAUUUUUUUAAAAGACAUUGUCACGUGUCUAUAAGUGAGGGGUUGAUAAUAAAUAGUUUCUAUCUAAUGGAGAUUUGCUCUCUAUAUAUUCCAGCAGAUUCAUCUAACACCUCCUUUGAAAACCUGGAAAUGCCUCAUAAAGGAUCCAAAGUGAAAGCUGAUUACAGGUUGGGAACUGGGCCACCUGUUAUACAUCAGGACAAAGGAGAGCAGAGGAAAGCUUCGGAUUAAUGUGGAUAAGAAAAAAAAGUAUUCUCUUCAGUUGGCUGCACAGAAAUAUUCAAAAUGUUUUGAACAUCAUGAAGAUUCUUUCAACACUAAUAUGGUGACUUUUGAUACAGUUGUCAGGAGUGUUUGGGGACCAAUAUGAUGACUCUUCUCUCACCAACAUCAUGAGCCAGUUUAAGGAGAACUUGAAGUCUCACUGAACAAAUGCCAAGCUCCUGAUAGGAUCUUUUUGUCUUUGUUUUUAUUUGUAUGGGCAAUAUAUUCUCAGUCCCAAAGGAUAUUGAUCUCUUUGAAAACCAAGUCCAGGUUUUAGUAGGUUUUUUUUAAAUUAAAAAUUCGUUGAGCAGACUUAAAAAAAGCUAAAAAAUAUGCAACCUAAAUCAACAUGUUGAUUAACUGGAAUAUUAGAAACAUAAAAUUUAAUCUUAGGAAGGGACUAUGAAAAAUCAUUAGGUGUAGUGUAAGUGCCUGACCUUUAGUUUUUUUAUUGUAAUGUAAGUGCCU
rnacentral:lncRNA from 12 species